rnacentral:rRNA from 1 species
UACGUAGGGUGCAAGCGUUAAUCGGAAUUACUGGGCGUAAAGCGUGCGCAGGCGGCUUUGCAAGACAGAUGUGAAAUCCCCGGGCUCAACCUGGGAACUGCAUUUGUGACUGCAAAGCUAGAGUACGGCAGAGGGGGAUGGAAUUCCGCGUGUAGCAGUGAAAUGCGUAGAUAUGCGGAGGAACACCAAUGGCGAAGGCAGCUCACUGGGACGGUAUUGACGCUGAGACGCGAAAGCGUGGGGAGCGAACAGG